rnacentral:rRNA from 1 species
UACAGAGGUCUCAAGCGUUGUUCGGAUUCAUUGGGCGUAAAGGGUGCGUAGGUGGCGCCGUAAGUCGGGUGUGAAAUUUCGGAGCUUAACUCCGAAACUGCAUUCGAUACUGCGGUGCUUGAGGACUGGAGAGGAGACUGGAAUUCAUGGUGUAGCAGUGAAAUGCGUAGAGAUCAUGAGGAAGACCAGUGGCGGAGGCGGGUCUCUGGACAGUUCCUGACACUGAGGCACGAAGGCCAGGGGAGCAAACGGG